GAUGAACGCUGGCGGCGUGCCUAAUACAUGCAAGUCGAGCGAACAGACGAGGAGCUUGCUCCUCUGACGUUAGCGGCGGACGGGUGAGUAACACGUGGAUAACCUACCUAUAAGACUGGGAUAACUUCGGGAAACCGGAGCUAAUACCGGAUAAUAUAUUGAACCGCAUGAUUCAAUAGUGAAAGACGGUUUUGCUGUCACUUAUAGAUGGAUCCGCGCCGCAUUAGCUAGUUGGUAAGGUAACGGCUUACCAAGGCAACGAUGCGUAGCCGACCUGAGAGGGUGAUCGGCCACACUGGAACUGAGACACGGUCCAGGCUCCUACGGGAGGCAGCAGUAGGGAAUCUUCCGCAAUGGGCGAAAGCCUGACGGAGCAACGCCGCGUGAGUGAUGAAGGUCUUCGGAUCGUAAAACUCUGUUAUUAGGGAAGAACAAAUGUGUAAGUAACUAUGCACGUCUUGACGGUACCUAAUCAGAAAGCCACGGCUAACUACGUG
rnacentral:rRNA from 1 species